CGGCGGACGGGUGAGUAACACGUGGAUAACCUACCUAUAAGACUGGGAUAACUUCGGGAAACCGGAGCUAAUACCGGAUAAUAUAUUGAACCGCAUGGUUCAAUAGUGAAAGACGGUUUUGCUGUCACUUAUAGAUGGAUACGCGCCGCAUUAGCUAGUUGGUAAGGUAACGGCUUACCAAGGCAACGAUGCGUAGCCGACCUGAGAGGGUGAUCGGCCACACUGGAACUGAGACACGGUCCAG
rnacentral:rRNA from 1 species